CCUCACCAAACUCACAGUGUUACAAUUAAGAGUCAAGACGAAACUAUGUGAGGUUUAGCACUCUGGGGCAGCACACUAAGGUUCACUGGGGCUGAGCAAUGAUGUCAGAGGACAGUCACUUCACUGGAGACUAUGGAGAAGCAGGU
rnacentral:lncRNA from 12 species